GCCGUCGGGCCGUCCGUCGCGCGCCGCCAGGUUCGGCGCGAGGAAAGUCCGGGCAACAUAGAGCACCAUAUUAUCUAACGGAUAGCUGUCGGAAUAAAUAACGGCAGAGUAGCGUGACAGAAAAUAACCGCCCGCGCGACCAACGCGCCGCGCAGGCAAGGGUGAAAAGGUGGGGUAAGAGCCCACCGGGGCCGAUGGCGACAUUGGCUGCCGCACGCCUUAUGGGUUGCAAGGUCAAGUAUACCGGCAAUUAAGGGUUGCUCGCCCGCUGCCGGGGGGUAGACUGCGUCAGAUAAAUGACGGACCGCGGGGCCGUUUGCCUAAAAGCAAUAACGACUUCCGACGACAUAACCCGGCUUACAACCUGACCGCCCCU
rnacentral:RNase_P_RNA from 2 species